rnacentral:misc_RNA from 1 species
CGCACCUUGCGCUCCUUGGUAUUCCGAGGAGCAUGCCUGUUUGAGUGUCGUGUAAUUAUCAACUCCCUUUCUUUAUUGAAAGGUGAGCUUGGACUUGGGGAUUGCUGGUCUAGUAUCAGCUUCUCUUGAAUACAUUAGCUGGAAUUUAAUUCGCAGCAUAUAUGCGGUGUGAUAAUGUCGUCACUGUGUAGCUCGGGUUGUUUAGCUUGUAACUGUCCUUCACGGGACAAUCUGAUCAUUUUGGCCUCAAAUCAGGUAGGACUACCCGCUGAACUUAA